rnacentral:rRNA from 1 species
AAUUGAUUGAUGGUGCUUGCACCUGAUUGAUUUUGGUCGCCAACGAGUGGCGGACGGGUGAGUAACACGUAGGUAACCUGCCCAGAAGCGGGGGACAACAUUUGGAAACAGAUGCUAAUACCGCAUAACAGCGUUGUUCGCAUGAACAACGCUUAAAAGAUGGCUUCUCGCUAUCACUUCUGGAUGGACCUGCGGUGCAUUAGCUUGUUGGUGGGGUAAUGGCCUACCAAGGCGAUGAUGCAUAGCCGAGUUGAGAGACUGAUCGGCCACAAUGGGACUGAGACACGGCCCAUACUCCUACGGGAGGCAGCAGUAGGGAAUCUUCCACAAUGGGCGCAAGCCUGAUGGAGCAACACCGCGUGAGUGAAGAAGGGUUUCGGCUCGUAAAGCUCUGUUGUUAAAGAAGAACACGUAUGAGAGUAACUGUUCAUACGUUGACGGUAUUUAACCAGAAAGCCACGGCUAACUACGUGCCAGCAGCCGCGGUAAUACGUAGGUGGCAAGCGUUAUCCGGAUUUAUUGGGCGUAAAGAGAGUGCAGGCGGUUUUCUAAGUCUGAUGUGAAAGCCUUCGGCUUAACCGGAGAAGUGCAUCGGAAACUGGAUAACUUGAGUGCAGAAGAGGGUAGUGGAACUCCAUGUGUAGCGGUGGAAUGCGUAGAUAUAUGGAAGAACACCAGUGGCGAAGGCGGCUACCUGGUCUGCAACUGACGCUGAGACUCGAAAGCAUGGGUAGCGAACAGGAUUAGAUACCCUGGUAGUCCAUGCCGUAAACGAUGAGUGCUAGGUGUU